AGGUGGUGGAGACCCAGGAAAGGACUGGAAGUAGCCCACAGGCAAACUGGAAUUAUAAGAAGAAAUGGAAAACACAAACCAGGACCUGGGGUUACGUUUCUCAAUGUCAUGAGGCUGAGGGCCGAGCUGUUGCUGUGAGAAAGGGAGAGAGAAACAGAGUGUGAGCCUGGGAGGGGCAGAGAGAGAGAGAGAAACACAGAAUCAGAAGAAGACUCCAGGCUCUGAGCUGUCAGCAUGGGGCCCGACACGGGGCUUGAACCCAUGAACUGCGAGAUCAUGACCUGAGCAAAGUUGGAUGCUUCACCGACUGAGCCACUCAGGUGCCCCCACCACAGUAAAAAUUUAAAAGGUGAAAAUCUACAUGAUAUUUAAGGAUGGGAUUCUAAUGGUCUAGAGCAUGCACUGGUGGCUUUCCUAAUAAAUUAUUACCGUAAGAGUGCCUUGAAAAAAACCAAAGAAUGCCUGAAAUUACAAUCGUCUCCUUCUUGGCAUUUCCUGCCGGCAGGAAAGAAUCUGAUGAUAAAAAGUCAGGGGAAAAGCAGGCAGCAAAAGAAUGGGAGGUGGGGAAUAAGGAGGCUUGUGUCCGUACACUAAGGCUUCAUCCUUCGGUUACUGAUUGACAGCUAAGUACCUGCACGGAUGAGCUCCUGGCCCCUCCUCCCUCCAGGCCUUCCACUGGCCACUUUGCCUUUGCCAACUGUGCCCUCAGGAUAACAGUGGCCCCCAUCUCCCUAGUUCAGCCUUUUUUGUUUUUCUUCUUCCAGACCUCAGCAGAAAAUCUCUUCUCUCUUGCCAUUUUCUCUUUUUCUGACACAUUUACUGUUAAACACUGGCUAUCGUGUGGGGUUCUCAUGAAAAACAAGCCAGGAAGGGCUAGGCCAUUUCCACUGCCUUUUUCUCCCAUCUGUCCUCAAACCUAAUCGAGUGGCAUGGAUAUACACUGCUAUUGCUUAUAGACAUACCCUUUUUUCCCUUUUUUCAGACACACUCUUAAGUGAGGUAAACCCUGGAGGAAAGAAAAGGAUUUUUACUUAUCAAUCACUUAGCAAUGAAGUGUUCCCUCUACACGUCAGAUUAGAUUGAUCCAGAAGCAGUGUGAACUUGAACUAGAGUCAGUGUGCCUUCUCUGCUGAUUUCAUUCCUGUAACUUCAGUUUUUUCCUGUCAUUUUCUUCUGCAUUUGACCUUUCACUUCUCCUCUGUCACCUCCAUGUCAGGAGGUAUAUGCCAAGGUCAGCAGACACGAAUACCAGAGCAAUGCGGAGGUGCAAGGGGAUGCGGUAGGAAAAUUGUGCUUGGAGUCACAAGACCUGAGCUCUGGUCCCGGCUCUUCC